UUGACCCUAAAAUGAUAUGCAUCAUUAUACAUUAUGCCUUUCGUGACUAUUGAUUUCUUUCUUGCUUUACUAAAUAGAUCGUUUCAGCUAAAUAUUGCACCAAGACUUGCUUGGAUGGGUUUGGACGGUUAUUGUUAUUUGUUCAGUAUAAUGUUGUAAAAGCCCAACUCUUUACAUGUCACUAAUGAGAGGUGCUACCAAAUAUUUCAUACAUUUUUAGGGGUUCAAGUCCCGAAGGGGCUGAAACCCUAUUGUUUUUGUCAAAAUUGAAAAGUCAUAACUUCUACGCCGUGAGUCCAAUUUACAUGAAACUUGCUACAGACAUCCAUCUAUCCUCACUCUACAAA